UGGGGAAUUUUGGACAAUGGGCGAAAGCCUGAUCCAGCAAUGCCGCGUGUGUGAAGAAGGCCUUCGGGUUGUAAAGCACUUUUGUCCGGAAAGAAAUCCUUGGCUCUAAUACAGUCGGGGGAUGACGGUACCGGAAGAAUAAGCACCGGCUAACUACGUGCCAGCAGCCGCGGUAAUACGUAGGGUGCAAGCGUUAAUCGGAAUUACUGGGCGUAAAGUGUGCGCAGGCGGUUUGCUAAGACCGAUGUGAAAUCCCCGGGCUCAACCUGGGAACUGCAUUGGUGACUGGCAGGCUAGAGUAUGGCAGAGGGGGGUAGAAUUCCACGUGUAGCAGUGAAAUGCGUAGAGAUGUGGAGGAAUACCGAUGGCGAAGGCAGCCCCCUGGGCCAAUACUGACGCUCAUGCACGAAAGCGUGGGGAGCAAACAGGAUUAGAUACCCUGGUAGUCCACGCCCUAAACGAUGUCAACUAGUUGUUGGGGAUUCAUUUCCUUAGUAACGUAGCUAACGCGUGAAGUUGACCGCCUGGGGAGUACGGUCGCAAGAUUAAAACUCAAAUGAAUUGACGGGGUCAUAGCUGUUUCCU
rnacentral:rRNA from 1 species